rnacentral:rRNA from 1 species
AUUGAACGCUGGCGGCAGGCCUAACACAUGCAAGUCGAGCGAGCGGCGGACGGGUGAGAAAUGUAUGGGGACUGCCCGAUAGAGGGGGAUAACUACUGGAAACGGUGGCUAAUAACGCAUACUAUCGGAUAACCCAUAUUGGAUGAGCUAGUAGGUUGUGUAAAGGCUCACCUAGGCGACGAUCUCUAGCUGGUCUGAGAGGAUGAUCAGCCACACUUGGACUGUGACCCGGCCCAGUCUCCUACGGGGGCAGCAGUUGGGUAUAUUGCACAAUGUUCGCAAGCCUGAUCCAGCCAUGCCGAGUGUAUGAAGAAGGCCUUCGGGUUGUAAAUUACUUUCAGCGGGGAGGCGUUACCCGCAGAAGAAGCACCGGCUAACUCCGUGCCAGCAGCCGCGGUAAUUC